rnacentral:rRNA from 1 species
UACGGGGGGGGGCAAGCGUUUGUUCGGAAUUACUGGGCGUAAAGGGCUCGUAGGCGGCCAACUAAGUCAGACGUGAAAUCCCUCGGCUUAACCGGGGAACUGCAUCUGAUACUGGAUGGCUUGAGUUCGGGAGAGGGAUGCGGAAUUCCAGGUGUAGCGGUGAAAUGCGUAGAUAUCUGGAGGAACACCGGUGGCGAAGGCGGCAUCCUGGACCGACACUGACGCUGAGGAGCGAAAGCCAGGGGAGCAAAGCGGG